AAAGCAGGACGCAAUUACAGUGCUCAAUCUUGUGGGAGUACUGUCAUUAUCCUGCUGAGAGCAUCCUUCUGCUCUGGAGUCAUGAAUACUG
ensembl:snoRNA small nucleolar RNA SNORA69